AAAACAGCCUAUUCGACAGAAUUUUGCAAGGAUAUCUCUGACGAGACAAUCUCUCUGGUCGAUGGAUCAUGUGACACAUACUAUGAGAUGGAGGAAGAUCCUGCUGUUCCAACAAAUGAGAUUACUGAAUCUUCAUCCGAGGAGCCUGAAAUAAACGGUGUACACUCGAGUUAUGUCGAUAGCAACCAUUUGAAUCAUUUAAAGAGCAAUCAAGAUUUACAAACUUUCGCACAUUCCUUAAAAAUCAUCAAAAGGAAAGCAGACUCAAAUUCAAGAGAAAUCAGAAAAACGAUGGAAAAGCGUUGUUCUGUAAAUUUGCACCAUGUGCGUUGGCUAACCUACUACUGUUGUUAACUACCUUGCAAAUUUAUUUCUGUCCUGUACAGAUGAUUCAAAAAUUGCGUCAGAUUUCGUUGGGGACCAAGUUUGUGAUGAAAAUUUUGGAGUUGCUGAAUAAUGAGCAAGAACUAAAUGAGCUAAUGAAGGAAGAAAAUGAGGAUUGGGAAAAGCUAAAGAAGAAAGUAAAUGAGGAUUGGGAACAGCCAAUGAAGGAAGUGCUAGCAAAACUAAAAAAAACGAUGGUGAUGUCAUGUACAAACGUUCUUAUUGCCCUACAAAGAAAACGCUUCUUAACAUCCUACGUCAAAAAAGAGUUCGGUGUUUGCAGAAAACAGUAUUUUCUAAAUACAGCUAUUAAUGAAUUUAAAACGUCGCAGCAUAAAGCAGGACUUAUGAUUUAUAUCACUGCCGAGAAGAGUCAUUGUGUCGUCUUGAUAAAGGACGAAAAUGGUGAAGAAGUGAAUAUUUACGACGCUACUAUCAAAGAAGACGAAGUCGAAAAUUUGGAAAAUAUUCGUAGCUUACAGAUCCUCGUAUUGACUUAUACGAAUGAUAAGAUACCUCUCGUUGAAAAAGAAUGGUUUAAGUGCAAAGAGUGUUUUUGUGCAAAUAACUAUGAUGGGGCGCACAAAAGCAAUAUCUCCGCCAAUUAACUGGAUUUUUCUUUUUUUUAUAGUGAUUUGCAAUCAAUUUUGUAAUGCAUGUAGUAAGUUGUCACAGUUUUACGGUUUAUUAAUUGGUGAGAUGCCAAAUUUUUGAGUAUCAUAUAAUCACAAUGAUCUUUUACUUAAAAAUCGUUUGUUUAAGUGUAAAUUUGGUGAGAGCUUUUGGUAUAAAUAUGUAUCGUUAUAGUUGAUUGCUACAUAUAAUAUAUCUUUAAUAAUAAUAAUAAUAAUGAU